GACGAACGCUGGCGGCGUGCCUAAUACAUGCAAGUAGGACGCAGUUGCGAACGGGUGAGUAACGCGUAGGAACCUACCUAUUAGAGGGGGAUAACUAUUGGAAACGAUAGCUAAUACCGCAUACUAUCAGAUGAGCCUAGGUCGGAUUAGCUAGUUGGUGGGGUAAAGGCCUACCAAGGCGACGAUCCGUAACUGGUCUGAGAGGAUGAUCAGUCACAAUGGAACUGGGACACGGUCCAGACUCCUACGGGAGGCAGCAGUGGGGGAUAUUGCACAAUGGGCGAAAGCCUGAUGCAGCGACGCCGCGUGGGGGAUGAAGGCUUUCGGGUUGUAAACCUCUUUCGCUAUCGAACGGGUAGGUGGAGAAGAAGCGCCGGCUAACUACGUGCCAGCAGCCGCGGUAAUAC
rnacentral:rRNA from 1 species